CUGGAGCUGGCGGCGAUGAUGGCGAUGGCGGCGCGGCUGGGGAGCGGCGCGGCGGCCCCGGCGCAGGCCCGGCUGGAGCGUGUGCGGCUGCUGACGGGCCUGUUCCGGGACGCGCAGCCCAGAGAAAUGGCAGAAGAAGGUAUAUUUUCUAAUCUCCUGGAAAUCCUGAUGAGUGCCUCAAGUGAAAUUGAGCAGGCCUGCAAGGACUCCAAUGAAUCGGUAGAUUUAGACACCUGCCUGCUGCUCACAGCAGAGUGUUUCAGAUGUCUGAGGAAUGCCUGUGUUGAGUGUGCCAAGAAUCAACAUGUCAUGAGGAACUUGGGUCUCAUCUCUACGUCUGUCCAUUUGAUCAAAUUGCUUCAUGGUAUACAAAUGAAAGAAGAAUUGUUAUUGACUGCUCUUCGUUGUAGCCUCCAGUUUCUUGGAAACAUUGCUGCAGGAAACAGAGAUUCCCAGAAUAGCAUUUGGAAGUGUGCUUUCCCAGAUCUCUUCUUGACAUGCCUAACGUACAAUGAUGAGAAGAUUGUUGCCUAUUGUUGUAUGAUCCUGUUCACGUGCCUUAACUCAGAGAAAGUGAGAGAACUGUUGGAUCCUGGGAAUCUGACUGUGGCUUUUCAUGUCCUGAAAGUCUACAAAGAGCAGUUGGAGUCUGAGUGGUCGUUCUUGAUUGUUACAGACCAUUUGCUGAAAUGUCCAGAGUUGGUAAAAGCCCUCUAUGCCAAACUGAGCAAUCAAGAAAGGGUUACCUUGUUAGAACUGAUAAUGGUGAAUGUAAAUGAGAAGAACCCAGUUACCAGUGAAGAAGUUAAUGUGUUGAUGACACAUGCUGACUUCCUUGCAGGCUGUUUCCAAGAGAACUGUGAAGCUGUGCUGAAGUUAACUUCUGCAGCAGAUGCUGAAGAUGAGGAAGCACUGGUUACAAUUCGUCUUCUUGAUGUUCUUUGUGAAAUGACAUCAAACAACGGACAGAUAGAACAUCUACAGUCGUUGCCUGGUUUGCUUGAAACGGCCAUAGAUACCCUGAGAUUGACUCAUAUUGCUGGGAAACAGGCUGUAAAUAUUUUCACUGCCACACAUGCUAUGACAGGGCAGGAAGAAAUUUCACAUCCAGCUGUGGGUUUUAAAUCUCACCUAAUUCGUUUGAUUGGAAAUUUGUGUUACAAAAAUAAGAAAAACCAAGACAAGGACAGCAGCCUGUAUUUUACUAAGUCUCAAGUGCCAGCUGAGGGCUAGAAAAAGGAGGACCAAGCAGGGAGCUCCUAAAGCAGCAUGGAGUGGGUGACUUCUGAGAAGUGAAAGGGACAGAUCACACUGGGACUUCCAAGAUGUGCUGAGACUGUUGCAAGCCAGUCUGCUUACAGCCAUUCUGGAGGAGCAUUGGGGUCCUGUGUGUACUGGACUGCUACUCUUGUAUCAGCUUCACUGCUGACGUCCUAUGGGAUCUUGGAGAAGUCAUUUUGGAUCCAGUUUUCAAAAGCACUCCUGGAAAAUGCUGCAGAACAUUCCUCUUUGCUGAGAAGCCAGCACACUCCAGCUUUCCCAGAGUGAAAUAUUGGAAACAGCAAAAAACUUGAGAAGCACUCUUGACAUCAUCCCCACAAUGGCUGCAACUGCAGUAUUUCACUCUUUUCUAUGGAAUUUGCCAUCAAGCUUGAAGGCCUGGACUUACUUCCUAGAAGAACAAAUCCCUCCAUGACAUUUCUGUCCUUUGCUUCCUGUUUGGAUAAGAAGACCUUAACAGCAACCAUUUUUGUCUGAGGAUCCCAGAGUACUUCACAAAUGUUUAAGUGGAGAUUUUUAACAUCAACAGGAAUGCUCCAUCACAGGAAUGCUCCAUCCUACCAGAUGUCUGCUGGAAGUACAACACAGCAGAAAGGGGGCAAUCCAAGAGGUUCCUAGAAUGUAUGGAAGAUAACUUCUUGCUACAGCUGAUACUGACCACAUCAUCUCUGGGUGCUACUCCACUAAUAAAAGAAAUAAAGAUGUGGAUUAUAGAAUCCUUUAUAGAUCUGCAUGGAACUCAUCUGGCUCAGCUGGUAGGGGUCACGUAAACCUUCUCCAUCCGUUACAGUUUGUGUGGUUUCACACCCAACAAAUGUCAAAGCAGAACUCAGCUGCAACUGCCAAGUUUCUUCUGUGUUUGGGCUAAACCAUAAAGAACCCACCGAAUUCCACAUCAGUCAUUUUAGAGUUGAAAGAAGCCACCCAGGUUCAGAGAGGAGGCUACCUUUUCAGUGGCAGUAUUUUGAAAAACAAGACAACAUGAGUAGACAUUCGGUGUGAUGACACAGGUUGCAUCGACUGAGUUAUGAGCCAGGCCCAUGUCGGGAUGCUUCAAACAGUUCUGAACAAGUCAGCAGGAGCAAAGGAAACACUAUAGUUGCAUUAGCAAAACAAGCCUUUCUCAGUAUGGUAUAAUGGACCCUGAGACACUCAACCAAAGCCUGGAAAAGCCCCUGCCAUGCUACUCUGCUGUCUGUCUCACUCCUCGACUGGCAAACCAGGGGAAGUAUGCCUGCAAGGCAGUAUCAUUUCCACAAACCCUUUCCCCUCUAGCUUGUCCCAGCCUGGUAUUGGAUCAUACAGGUGAUUUCAUUUUCCCACCAAAUGCUGUUGUUUACUGCCUCUGUAAUGUAAAGAUCCUUGCCCAUAUCAUGCUGCAGCACCUUGGGUUUAAGUGGAGUUUCAUAGUGGCAGAAAUCACCAUAUAUAGGUUAGUAACAGGAUACAGACUAACUUCCCCAUUACCUUCCUCUCCAUCUUGAACAUUGACUGUUCUGAUUUGGUGGGUUUAUUUGGUAGCGGGGGAAGGGCCACAGGGGUGGCUCAGGUAAGAAGCUGAGAAGCUCCCCCUGCUCCAAACCCAGCCAAGGAGCCAUUAGAGGGACAGUAGAUGCACUUCUGCCAUUAACAUACGAAAGACAUGAGACCUGAGCAGAGGAGAGUGGUGGUGGUGGUUGGUGAGGAAGAAGGGGGAAGAAGAUGCCCAAGCAGAAGUUUCCCUGCAACCCAUGGCAAGAUGGCAGCUGUCCCCCUGAACUCACGGAGGAAUGUGGUGGAACAUUCCUGAAGGUGCCAGGAGGGGUGGACUUGGAUGUUGUGGCCAGAGGAUUUGCUGCCAGUGGACUCUGAUUGUGCAGCUGUGGACGACCCCAGGGCCAGGGGAGGUGGCUGUUCCCGAAGCAGCCCCUGACUCUGUGGGAAGCCCAGGCUGGAGCAGCUCCGGACCUCGUGGGAAGGACUCAUGAAGGAGAGGUUGGUGGAGGACUCUCUGCCAUGGGAGGGACCCCGUGGGGAAGCAGGGCAGGACUGUAAGGAAUCCUUCUUCCUGAGGAGGAAGGAGCAGCAAGAAACACCAGCCUGUGAAGUGACUCUAAACCCCAUCCCCUGUCCCCCUGUGCCGCUGGGGGGAAGGAGGGAGAGAAACUAGGAACAAGGGGAUUUGGGCCCGGGUAGAAGGGAGGGGUGGGGUAACAUACGCAAGCCCUGCUCUGUGUGUGUCUGUGUCCUGGGUGUGUGUGAUUAGUGUGAAAUUAAAUUGUUAUUUUUCACCAAGUUGAGUCUGUUUUGCCUGGGACCUUAAUCAGUGAAGAACCCUCCUUGUCCCUUGUCUCAACCCAGGAGCUUUGUCCUCCUCAUCUCAGAGAGUGUGUGAGGGUGGGAGUUGAGUGAGCAGCCAUGGGGCUGUUCCUUUGUUGUCGUGUUAGGCCCAAUCCACAACACUGACUUAAGUUUUCUGGAUGUUAAAAACUUCCCACUGGAAAUGCUCCUUCUGGAAAAUGCUGACUAAACAAAAUUGAAGAAUUUUAUAGGAAUUUAUCAGCUUCAUCACAAAGGUUACUGCAAAAUUACAGAAAUGUUGUAUUUCAAUGAAAUCAGAGUGUUUCAUUAUGCCAUUUCAAUAACCUACAGUAAAGCCAGAGCAAAAAGGGUGAAAUGGAGAACUCUUUCCUGGCCAAAAUAAAAUAUUGCUUUUACUGUGGAAUGGAAAUUCCAUGAUGAUUCACUCUGCCUUUAAUAGGUAUUUGUGCAUCUUUUCCAAAGUUAACAAUCCAUGAGAAACUCGCCAAUUGUGUUUUUUUAUUUAUGGCUUGGGGGUAGGGGGUUAUAGAUACAGAGACAAGGUAUUGCAAACACAGAGCAUGCAUGCCAUGUGGUACUACCUAUUAAACAAAAAUAAGAACAAAAUGUAGUUGCAGCUCUGACCACUCACAGUGUUUAGAGCAGGAGUGAUCAGAUCUGCAGCUUUGAUUCAUAUUCUUCUGGGCACUGCAGGUUUUGAGCUGUUUUUCUUCUGACCCACCUCUGCUUAAAUAACUGCAUAACAUUUAAAUUAUGAUGUCCAUAAAUCAGGACUUUGCAAGAUAUAUGAUAAACUUAAAAAAAUAAUAAUUAUGAGUUUGAUACAGAGAUACACUGAUACAUUGUCUGACCUUUAC